UACAGAGGGGGCAAGCGUUAUUCGGAAUUAUUGGGCGUAAAGGGCGCGUAGGCGGCCUGGCAAGUGGAAGGUGAAAUCCCUCGGCUCAACCGAGGAACUGCGACGGAUACUGCUUGGCUUGAGUCCCGGAGAGGGUAGCGGAAUUCCCAGUGUAGCGGUGAAAUGCGUAGAUAUUGGGAGGAACAUCGGUGGCGAAGGCGGCUACCUGGACGGGUACUGACGCUGAUGCGCGAAGCUAGGGAGCAACAGG
rnacentral:rRNA from 1 species